AUCCUGGCUCAGAUUGAACGCUGGCGGCAUGCCUUACACAUGCAAGUCGAACGGUAACGGGCCUUCGGGUGCCGACGAGUGGCGAACGGGUGAGUAAUGCAUCGGAACGUACCUUUCAGUGGGGGAUAACGUAGCGAAAGUUACGCUAAUACCGCAUAUUCUGUGAGCAGGAAAGCAGGGGAUCGCAAGACCUUGCGCUGAUUGAGCGGCCGAUGUCAGAUUAGCUAGUUGGUGAGGUAAAGGCUCACCAAGGCGACGAUCUGUAGCGGGUCUGAGAGGAUGAUCCGCCACACUGGAACUGAGACACGGUCCAGACUCCUACGGGAGGCAGCAGUGGGGAAUUUUGGACAAUGGGGGCAACCCUGAUCCAGCCAUGCCGCGUGAGUGAAGAAGGCCUUCGGGUUGUAAAGCUCUUUCGGCCGGGAAGAAAUCGUAUGGGCUAAUACCCUGUGCGGAUGACGGUACCGGCAUAAGAAGCACCGGCUAACUACGUG
rnacentral:rRNA from 1 species